AUUGAACGCUGGCGGCAGGCCUAACACAUGCAAGUCGAACGAGUGGCGGACGGGUGAGUAAUGUCUGGGAAACUGCCUGAUGGAGGGGGAUAACUACUGGAAACGGUAGCUAAUACCGCAUACCAUCGGAUGUGCCCAGAUGGGAUUAGCUAGUAGGUGGGGUAAAGGCUCACCUAGUCGACGAUCCCUAGCUGGUCUGAGAGGAUGACCAGCCACAUUGGAACGGAGACACGGUCCAGACUCCUCUGGGAGGCAGCAGUGGGGAUUAUUGCACAAUGGGCGCAAGCCUGAUGCAGCCAUGCCGCGUGGAUGAAGAAGGCCUUCGGGUUGUAAAGUUCUUUCGGCGGGGAGGCGUUACCCGCAGAAGAAGCACCGGCUAACUCCGUGCAAGCAGCCGCGGUAAUUC
rnacentral:rRNA from 1 species